rnacentral:lncRNA from 1 species
CCUUUCUCUUGGACAGAGCUCCAAUGCCACUUUUAAAAAGAUAAUGAAGUGAAUUUUUGAGGGCUGAUCUUUACUCCUUGCCAUUUGGCAGCCCUUCUUCCCAACAGAGGGCAAUACCCCACUAGCCAAACAUUUCGUGUUAGAAAACUCCAAGCCUUCCUACUGGCAGGCACUUCCCAUGUUGGAAUCGAGGACGUCUGAUUUUGGUAGCUCAGAGUUUCCCAGAUCUAAAGAGGACUUGGCUUAUUAGUUAAAGAACUUUCUAACUGAGGAGGAAUGAUUACCAUUCAGCUUUAAGUGCCAGGAUGAGUGUCCUGUUGGGACCUAUGGCGUUCUCUGUGCUGAGACCUGCCAGUGUGUCAACGGAGGGAAGUGUUACCACGUGAGCGGCGCAUGCCUCUGUGAAGCAGGCUUUGCUGGCGAGCGCUGCGAAGCACGCCUGUGUCCUGAGGGGCUCUACGGCAUCAAAUGUGACAAACGGUGUCCCUGCCACCUGGAAAACACUCAUAGCUGUCACCCCAUGUCUGGAGAGUGUGCCUGCA